CUCCAUCUCCACCGACUAAGCUCCACUCCGCAAUUUCCAGGUGGCCGCUGGGCUGGGAGUCUCGCGCCGGGGGCCGGCGCUGUCUCGCGAGCCCCCUCCCGGAGCCAGCCAAUGGGGUUGGUUACUGGAGCCGCCCGCCCGCCUGGUGCAGAGCGCUGGGCUCUGUGAGCGGCGCUGCCAUUUAAAGGGGCCGCGACCCCUGUCCCGGCUGCUAGGGAGGGAGGUGGAGAAGGAGCGCGGGGCCGUCGCUGUCUGCAGUUCUAGGCUUGUAGCCGUUACACUAACCCUGCCGCAGCCCAUAUCCAGUCAUCCUCAUGGACCCCAGGGAUUUCCCCAGUCCGUUUGACCCAUUGACCCUGCCAGAGAAGCCCCUGGCUGGAGACCUUCCAGUAGACAUGGAAUUUGGAGAGGACCUACUGGAAUCCCAGACUGCCCCAACUCGAGGAUGGGCUCCCCCUGGCCCUUCUCCAUCCUCAGGAGCCCUGGACCUGCUUGAUACCCCUGCUGGCCUGGAAAAAGACCCCGGAGUCCUGGAUGGAGCCACUGAGCUGCUGGGGUUGGGGGGGCUGCUCUAUAAAGCCCCCUCCCCCCCAGAGGUGGACCAUGGUCCUGAGGGGACCCUUUCAUGGGAUGCAGGAGAUCAGACCCUAGAGCCUGGACCAGGGGGUCAGACCCCUGAGGUGGUGCCACCUGACCCAGAGGCUGGGGCAAACCCCUCUUCACCCGAGGGGCUGCUAGAACCUUUGGCUCCAGAUUCUCCAAUAAACCUGCAGUCCCCACAUAUUGAAGAGGAGACCACCUCCACAGCUAUAGGGAGAAGGGGCUCCCCUGGGCAUGAGGAGGAGCUUCCCCAAGGGCGGCCACAGAGCCCAAAUGGCCCCCCCAGCCCUUCAGUGGGAGAGACUCUGGGGGAUGGAAUCAACAGUUCUCAGAGCAAACCUGGGGGCCCUAGCCCCCCUGCACACCCCUCCUUGCCAGGAGAUGGCCUGACUGGGAAGGCGAGUGAGAAGCCGCCUGAGAGGAAGAGAAGCGAGCGCGUUCGGAGAGCGGAGCCUCCAAAACCUGAGGUUGUGGAUUCCACUGAGAGCAUUCCAGUGUCAGACGAGGAUUCUGAUGCCAUGGUAGAUGAUCCGAACGAUGAGGACUUUGUGCCAUUCCGGCCCCGGCGCUCUCCACGCAUGUCCCUGCGCUCCAGCGUGGCGCAAAGGGCCGGCCGCUCCUCGGUGGGCACCAAGAUGACCUGUGCUCACUGCCGGACCCCUCUGCAGAAGGGGCAGACGGCCUACCAGCGCAAGGGGCUGCCUCAGCUCUUCUGCUCCUCAUCCUGCCUCACCACCUUCUCAAAGAAGCCCUCGGGCAAAAAGACCUGUACCUUCUGCAAGAAGGAGAUCUGGAACACCAAGGACUUGGUUGUGGCACAGACAGGUUCAGGGGGCUCCUUCCAUGAGUUCUGCACGUCCGUCUGCCUCUCCCUGUAUGAGGCCCAGCAGCAGCGCCCCAUCCCCCAGGCUGGGGACCCCGCAGAUGCCACUCGCUGCAGCAUAUGCCAGAAGACCGGAGAGGUCCUGCACGAGGUCAGCAAUGGCAGCGUGGUACACCGGCUCUGCAGCGAUUCGUGCUUCUCCAAAUUCCGGGCCAACAAGGGACUGAAAACCAACUGCUGUGACCAGUGCGGGGCUUACAUCUACACCAAGACUGGGAGCCCUGGCCCUGAGCUCCUCUUCCACGAGGGCCAACAGAAGCGGUUCUGCAACACAACCUGCUUGGGGGCGUACAAGAAGAAAAACACACGUGUGUACCCAUGUGUCUGGUGCAAGACCCUGUGUAAGAACUUUGAGAUGCUCUCACAUGUGGACCGUAAUGGCAAGACGAGCUUGUUCUGUUCCCUCUGCUGUACCACCUCUUACAAAGUGAAGCAGGCAGGGCUCACUGGCCCUUCCCGACCCUGCAGCUUCUGCCGCCGCAGCCUCUCUGAGCCCUGUUACUACAACAAGGUCGAUCGCACAGUCUACCAGUUCUGCAGCCUCAGCUGCUGGACCAAGUUCCAGCGCACAAGCCCUGAGGGGGGCAUUCACCUGAGCUGUCACUACUGCCACAGCCUCUUCAGUGGCAAGCCUGAGGUCUUGGACUGGCAGGACCAGGUGUUCCAGUUCUGCUGCCGCGAUUGCUGUGAGGACUUCAAGCGACUUCGGGGUGUGGUGUCCCAGUGUGAGCAUUGCCGGCAGGAGAAACUCCUGCAUGAGAAGCUCCGAUUCAGCGGGGUGGAGAAGAGCUUCUGUAGUGAAGGUUGCGUGCUGCUAUACAAACAGGACUUCACUAAGAAGCUGGGACUUUGCUGUAUCACUUGUACUUACUGCUCCCAGACCUGCCAGCGCGGCGUCACCGAGCAACUGGAUGGCAGCACCUGGGACUUCUGCAGCGAGGACUGUAAAAGCAAGUACCUGCUGUGGUACUGCAAGGCUGCCCGGUGCCAUGCUUGUAAGCGCCAGGGGAAGCUGCUGGAGACCAUCCACUGGCGUGGGCAGAUCCGCCAUUUCUGCAACCAACAGUGUCUGCUGCGCUUCUACAGCCAGCAGAACCAACCCAACCUGGACACUCAGAGCGGGCCCGAGAGCCUCCUGAACAGUCAGGCUUCUGAGUCGAAGUCCCAGACACCCUCGCAAACCAAAGUGGAGAACAGCAAUACAGUGAAGACCGCAGAGGAAACUGGGAAUCCGGGCAAGAUCCCUGCAAAGACCCGCUCGGCUCCCACAGCUUGCACCCCUCCUCCACCCCCACCACCCCCAGCAACACCCCGCAAAAACAAAGCGGCCAUGUGCAAGCCACUGAUGCAGAACCGAGGGGUCUCCUGCAAGGUGGAAAUGAAGUCCAAAGGGAGCCAGACAGAAGAGUGGAAGCCGCAGGUGAUCGUGCUGCCCAUCCCAGUGCCCAUCUUUGUACCAGUGCCUAUGCAUCUGUACUGCCAGAAAGUCCCGGUGCCUUUCUCAAUGCCCAUCCCGGUGCCUGUGCCCAUGUUCCUGCCCACUACCUUGGAGAGCACAGACAAGAUCGUGGAGACCAUUGAGGAGCUGAAGGUGAAGAUCCCAUCAAACCCCUUGGAGGCCGACAUCCUGGCUAUGGCAGAAAUGAUCGCAGAGGCGGAGGAGUUAGACAAAGCCUCGUCUGACCUGUGUGAUCUUGUGAGCAACCAGAGUGCAGAGGGACUUCUGGAAGACUGUGACCUGUUUGGGCCGGCUCGAGAUGAUGUCCUGGCCAUGGCUGUCAAGAUGGCUAACGUGUUGGAUGAGCCUGGGCAAGACUUGGAGGCUGACUUCCCCAAGAAUCCUUUGGACAUUAACCCCAGCGUAGACUUCCUCUUUGAUUGUGGCCUGGUAGGGCCCGAGGACGUGUCUACUGAACAAGACCUUCCCCGCACCAUGAGGAAGGGUCAAAAGCGGCUGGUGCUUUCGGAGAGCUGUUCCCGGGACUCCAUGAGCAGCCAGCCCAGCUGCACUGGGCUGAACUAUUCAUACGGUGUCAAUGCUUGGAAGUGCUGGGUGCAGUCGAAGUAUGCCAAUGGAGAAACCAGCAAGGGGGAUGAGCUGCGCUUCGGCCCCAAACCUAUGCGUAUCAAAGAGGAUAUUCUGGCCUGCUCAGCUGCUGAGCUCAACUACGGUCUGGCCCAGUUUGUGAGAGAAAUCACUCGACCCAACGGGUGAACGAUACGAACCUGACAGUAUCUACUAUCUGUGUCUUGGCAUCCACAGUACUUGCUGGAAAAUAACCGAAUGGUGAACAUUUUCACGGACCUUUACUACCUGACUUUCGUUCAAGAACUCAACAAGUCUCUCAGUACCUGGCAGCCCACACUCCUCCCCAACAAUACAGUCUUCUCCCGAGUGGAGGAAGAACACCUGUGGGAGUGUAAGCAGCUGGGGGUCUACUCGCCCUUUGUCCUUCUCAACACCCUCAUGUUCUUCAACACUAAGUUUUUUGGGCUGCAGACAGCCGAGGAGCACAUGCAGCUCUCCUUCACCAAUGUGGUGCGGCAGUCCCGCAAAUGCACCACCCCUCGUGGCACCACCAAGGUGGUCAGCAUCCGCUACUACGCCCCGGUCCGCCAGAGAAAAGGGCGAGACACGGGUCCAGGGAAACGGAAGAGAGAAGACGAAGCUCCUAUCUUGGAGCAGCGUGAGAACCGCAUGAACCCACUGCGCUGCCCUGUCAAGUUCUAUGAAUUCUAUCUGUCAAAAUGUCCCGAAAGCCUCCGGACUCGCAACGAUGUGUUCUACCUGCAACCUGAGCGCUCUUGCAUCGCUGAGUCGCCUCUCUGGUACUCUGUGAUCCCCAUGGACCGGAGCAUGUUGGAGAGCAUGCUCAACCGCAUUCUGGCUGUACGCGAGAUCUAUGAGGAGCUGGGUCGUCCUGGAGAGGAGGAUCUGGACUGAGCCUGCGUGCUCUUCAUCCAUCCUUCGCACCAGUGUGUGGCCGGCAGCCACGCCCCACAGGGUGACUGGCCCAGGAACCAAUGCUACUCCUUCUGAAGGGCCCUGGCUGCCCUUUUCUACUCAUCCAUUCCCUGCCUUCCCUAGGAACCCCUGGCUUUUACCAACUUCCAUACCACUUGACAACAAUGGGGCCCCAGUCCUCUGUGCUUGGGGGCUGGUCUCCCAGAGAUGGGCAGAAACCAUCUAGGCCAUUCUCUUUGAACUUCAGAGUAAAGCCCUUCUCCUGGGGCCGCACUCUGGGUGGAGUGUUGCUAGCUCUGAUGGUCCCAUCCCACAUAGGCAAAGCCCCUUGUUCCUAGGUUUGGCCAAGGGAAGAACCUAGCUGCCUUCUCUGCCCUGUGCCCAUUCCCCUCUCUACUGUCUCCCAGUACCACGCUCAAGGGUCUUGUAUGGAAGGUAUGAAAGAAUCUGAAAGUAACGAGGGGACCAUUUACCUAAAACACAGAGCUUACACACACUUUCUCUCCCAUAAGAUAACUGGUUGUUGGAAUCCCCUCACCACCUCGUUCCUCCUCCCCACCCCUGCCAGCACCAGUCCUGGGUGCUGCAAUUUAAAAAGCUUCCAAAUGCUUUCAUUUCCUCAAAGGCAGAGAAUGACUCUAAGUAUGGGGAGCAGAGUCCUGCCCCCUUGGUUUAUGUGUUUGUCUCUCUCUCUGCCAUCUUGGCAUGAGCCAUGUGUCAACAUGCUUAGCCCCCUUCUGUAACUGCCUCCCUUUAGUUCAGUGGACACAGUUCCCAAGGCAAAAACUACCUUCUGACUUGGGUUGGGGCUGGGUUCCCCACUCUUGUUCUUCCCCCAUCAUAAGAGCCAGGCUAAGCCUGUGGGGGCCCUGGGUCAUGCAGGAUGGGCUCUGUGGUCAGGAUAGGUGAGGAGCUGUGGGCAUGGGUCCUGCCCCUAAUGCCUACAUUUUUUCUCUUCCCCAUCUUGCCUUUGUAGUUCCAGAAAACUGUUAGCAUCCGGCAAAGGGGGUACCCAGUUCUUUCCCUGUUGGCUUUGCUGUUCCCCAGCCUUUUUGUGUUUUUAUAACUGUCACCAGUUUAGCCACUGUUUAAAUUGUAUAUAUUGUUCUGAGGUGCCUGGCCUGUCCCUUCAGUGAGCCAUGCCCGCCCUUGUGUUGUAGUGAGAAGCUGUUGUCACAACUAACCUUCUGUCUCUGGAAUUGUUUGUUUCAAAUAAAGAGUUAAAAUUGUU